rnacentral:lncRNA from 1 species
UUUUUUGAUUCAGCUUCGGCUCCCUGUAAACGCUUUUUUUGCUUUUCUUUGUAUACAUCUUGUUUUUUAAAGGUAGCAGAAUAGCUAUGUACUUUGAAACCAAAAAUACGUGGAAUGUAGCGUUCUUGAGAUUUAGGGACCGCAAGUUCAGGGUAUACCUGAAAAAGCAUGUGAGGGAAUGAGGUUCCAAAAUAUGCACCAUCAAUGGAUGCAUGUCUUUGUGAUUUUGGUGUGUACACAUCCUCACACCGAGGACAGUAUAAUUUAACGGAUUUUGUAUGGGCAAUAUCCGACAAGCCGACGGGCAACAUUGGCUGUCCGUUGCAUAAAACUCUAGGGCAAUGCCCAAAGUCACAUUUUUUGUAUUUCUCAAGCUAGAAAGGAUGUUAGUCAAAAUCCAAAGCUAAUUAAAACGAAAUAGUACGGUAUGACAUAAAUGUAAUAAAAUUGAAGAAUUGAAAGAUAAGUCAAGUUACACACUUAGUGUCCAUUAUACUUGUCUAAUGCCUGUUUUGUUCACGAAGAUUGUAUCCAAACUUAAAAACAGGAAACUAGAAGUUUACAAACAUAAUUGCUUACCAUUUUAUAUAAACCCUGAGCCGUUAAGAUAUAACGGGCGUGAAUAAGGCCGUACAAAUGACGAGCACUAGCUUCUACCUCAUCUUGUACUUCCUCUGGUAAAUCAGGAUCCAAUACAUCUAAAAUGAGGUCUAAAGACUGGGAGUAGUGUGGAACUUCAUGACUCAAUCCAGUCAAAUUAAAGCGAUCCUGGAUGAAGUCUUCGUCGACUUCGCAAAAAAAUUCGUUUCCUUUUAGUCCUAAAAACCAAUCAACCCAAUAUUGAGAAUCAUCGGAUUCACUGCAAUUAAUGAUUAAUAAACGGUCCAAUAUGGCCAAAAUGUAAAAUAUUUUUUUAUUUAACCCUAAUUUGCACAAACCUUUCCGAAGAGUAUAGCUGCAUGCUUCGUUCCGAUUUACGUUGAAAAGCUGCACCAAAAAUCCUAAUUGCUUAAUGCAAAAUUUGAUUUCCGUUUCAGCCUUAGCAGCUUCUAAUAUAUGGAAAAUUUGAAGAGAAGUACGUUGUCGUAUCGUAGUCUUUCUGGAGCUCCGGUGUUUUCCUUCAUUCUACACUAAAGGAAUGAAAAACUAAUUAGCGUGUUACUAGAAAUUCAAUUUGCUGCACUUCGGUAUGUUAUCUAGCACUUAAACGUUUAUGCACUGGGAUGCACUAUAGUAGCACAAUAGUUCAUUCUAUUAAAACUGCUUUAGCAACAAAAAUGAAAUAUUUAGCGUUCCAUCUGCUACAAAGCAACUUCUAUUUUGUUAUUGCUGUGUUAUUUACAUUAUACUUGAUGUUGUACCUUUUAAGGAAUAAUACAGGUGUGACAGUGACACUUUGUAGAAUGAUAUAGCUAUCAUUGUAGUUAAGUCUCUAAUAUUGUACUGCUUAAUAAGAAGUCGCAAUAGAUAAAACGUUGGUUCAAUUGGAAAUUUGAACAAACAAACUGUUCUCGCUUCGAAUCCACAGUGAAUUAUAUAAAUUACUAUGGCUUGCGUUUCUCGAGAUUCGUACUUAGGGAAUCUUGCAAUAUACAUAACCAGCUACUACCUAGUAACUGCCAAAUAAAUCGUAAAGCUAAAUUAAUCAGUUAUUCAUAGAGGUAUUUAUAAAAAGUACGGCUUGUUCUAAACAAAAAAAGAAAAGCGUCAAUGAUAUUAUCAAACCUAUUUGAUUUAAAACGAAACAAACCACCUUAGGAUAGGUAAAUGCUUCUCUCAGUUGAACUAACAAGUAAUUAUAUAAGAACACCAAUUGUGUGUCUUCUUCCUAUUUACUGUUUUUUUACCUUUCCAUAGUCAUCGAUUUCAACCAAUGCAUUGUUCAUAGCGGUUUCAGUCUCGUGUAGAAGAUCAUUCACAUCUUCAGCAGUUUUCCCCUCCGUAGGAAUUGGAUCAAGCACUUUAAUCAGAGCUUCACCUUUAUUGAAUACUUUGGUAGGAGGAUGAAACAAAUGACCAUAAGUCUGAAUUGCAAUAGGAAUAAUGGGUACUUGAGCCUGUACAGCAAGGUGAAAUGCGCCCUUUUUCAAGGGAAGAAGACAGGGCUUAAGGCUAUAGGAACGAGUGCCUUCUGCAAAUACCCAAAUAGAAAUAUUUUCUUUGCGCAUUCUUCGUGCCGCUUUCGCAAAAAGUUGAAUCGCAUCACUUCGGCGAGACCUAUCGAUAAAUACAACGUCAGACAAUAUCAUAAACCAUCCCAAAAUGGGCACAUAUCUUAGAGACUUUUUAGCAAUAACAGAAUAAUUAGGGCCAAAAG